GGGGCGAGGGUGAGGGGUGCCUCCUGCCCGCUGGCCGCCCGGGGCUGCCGGGACGGGAAGCUGCGAAGCGGCCGCCGCGGCAGGCUCCCGGUCCGCCGGAGGCGAGCCGGGCCAGGGCAGCGCCGGGGAGUUCCCCGAGAGCCGGUAGAAGGGAAGAGGGGACGGAAGCGGGCACCCCCCAGGCGCGGCCAGCGGGCGCGUCCCCGAGUCGCCAGAGCUCCCCCGGCCCCGCUCGGCCCGUGCGGCUGCCCCCAGCUCCAGCCCCUCCCCUGAAGCCUGUGCUGUGGCCGCAGGCAGCCCCCGAGCCCUGUCGUGAGGGCAGCAAGCCGGCCCUGCGGUGUUCUCGAGUCUCCCUCAACGUGGGUGCCGCUAGCAGCGGCGCGGGGAACGAGCGGCGUCUGCGGAAGCCCCUGCGGAAGGAGGGGGCUCCGGCCAGGGUCGAGCUGCGGUAAUAACGGUCACUGCUGCCUCUUUCCCUCUCCCAGAGGCCACGCUGUGGGUGCGGUUGCCCGUUCGUCCCCCGGGGAUGCCGUUGACUGCAGCAGCCUCAGGCUUGCGUGGGCUGUCUCUGCCUGGCCUCCCUCUCCGCGCGGCGCGGGAGCGCAGAGGGACAGGCGGAGCGCUUACUGGCUGUGGGCAGGAGCUGCUGCGGCUGAAGCUGGAGAGGCCAGAGAAAGGUAGAGAAGCAGAAACGGAAGGCCGCCCGGCCGGCAGCUGCCUCCCGCUGCAGGCAAGAGAGAGCCUGCCUCUCCGGGUGUGGAAGGAUCCCUCCUCGUAGUCCGCAGCAGGGGGAGGAGGACAGCCGUGCAGCCGGAGUUACAGCAGAGGAGGGGAGCGGGAGAGGAGCAGAAAGAAGCGUCUGAACUGGCAAAUUCUCCUGGCAGUGCCAAGAACAAGAGCUGUGCUUAACGCAGUUUCAAUCGCAUGUGGUCAGUUUCAGCACUGUUCUCAUCUAGUGCACAGGAACAUCUAGUCAUAAGAACAAAGAACUGCAAAACUUGUGAGUACCUACCUCUGCUAGUUAACUGCUUGGCUAUGCUUUUGUCUACUGUUUCAAUCAUUGUGUUAGUGUAAGAUUUCUAAUAAUUAUUUACCAAAUCUCACUUUUACAGUCACCUAGCAGCAAACCAGUUUCCAUGGCUGGUACAAAACAUUAAAACCAUCCAAAUAUUUAGACGUGCCAUACAGAAUGUAUGGAAAUAUGCUAUGAGAGGUGUCCCAGGGGCAGGGGGAGC